rnacentral:rRNA from 1 species
GUCUACGGCCAUGCCACCCUGAACAUGCCUGAUCCCGUCUGAUCUCAGAAGUUAAGCAGGGUUGGGGCUUGGUUAGUACUUAGAUGGGAGACCACCUAGGAAGACCAGGUGCUGUAGGCG